rnacentral:rRNA from 1 species
AGAGUUUGAUCCUGGCUCAGGAUGAACGCUAGCGACAGGCUUAACACAUGCAAGUCGAGGGGCAGCACAGGUAGCAAUACCGGGUGGCGACCGGCGCACGGGUGAGUAACGCGUAUGCAACUUACCUAUCAGAGGGGGAUAACCCGGCGAAAGUCGGACUAAUACCGCAUGAAGCAGGGGCCCCGCAUGGGGAUAUUUGCUAAAGAUUCAUCGCUGAUAGAUAGGCAUGCGUUCCAUUAGGCAGUUGGCGGGGUAACGGCCCACCAAACCGACGAUGGAUAGGGGUUCUGAGAGGAAGGUCCCCCACAUUGGUACUGAGACACGGACCAAACUCCUACGGGAGGCAGCAGUGAGGAAUAUUGGUCAAUGGACGAGAGUCUGAACCAGCCAAGUAGCGUGAAGGAUGACUGCCCUAUGGGUUGUAAACUUCUUUUAUACGGGAAUAAAGUGAGGCACGCGUGCCUUUUUGUAUGUACCGUAUGAAUAAGGAUCGGCUAACUCCGUGCCAGCAGCCGCGGUAAUACGGAGGAUCCGAGCGUUAUCCGGAUUUAUUGGGUUUAAAGGGAGCGUAGGCGGACGCUUAAGUCAGUUGUGAAAGUUUGCGGCUCAACCGUAAAAUUGCAGUUGAUACUGGGUGUCUUGAGUACAGUAGAGGCAGGCGGAAUUCGUGGUGUAGCGGUGAAAUGCUUAGAUAUCACGAAGAACUCCGAUUGCGAAGGCAGCCUGCUGGACUGUAACUGACGCUGAUGCUCGAAAGUGUGGGUAUCAAACAGGAUUAGAUACCCUGGUAGUCCACACAGUAAACGAUGAAUACUCGCUUGUUUGCGAAAUACAGUAGGCGGCCAAACGAAAGCGUUA